rnacentral:rRNA from 1 species
AGCGAACAGAUAAGGAGCUUGCUCCUUUGACGUUAGCGGCGGACGGGUGAGUAACACGUGGAUAACCUACCUAUAAGACUGGGAUAACUUCGGGAAACCGGAGCUAAUACCGGAUAACAUAUUGAACCGCAUGGUUCAAUAGUGAAAGGCGGCUUUGCUGUCACUUAUAGAUGGAUCCGCGCCGUAUUAGCUAGUUGGUAAGGUGACGGCUUACCAAGGCAACGAUACGUAGCCGACCUGAGAGGGUGAUCGGCCACACUGGAACUGAGACACGGUCCAGACUCCUACGGGAGGCAGCAGUAGGGAAUCUUCCGCAAUGGGCGAAAGCCUGACGGAGCAACGCCGCGUGAGUGAUGAAGGUCUUCGGAUCGUAAAACUCUGUUAUCAGGGAAGAACAAAUGUGUAAGUAACUGUGCACAUCUUGACGGUACCUGAUCAGAAAGCCACGGCUAACUACGUGCCAGCAGCCGCGGUAAUACGUAGGUGGCAAGCGUUAUCCGGAAUUAUUGGGCGUAAAGCGCGCGUAGGCGGUUUUUUAAGUCUGAUGUGAAAGCCCACGGCUCAACCGUGGAGGGUCAUUGGAAACUGGAAAACUUGAGUGCAGAAGAGGAAAGUGGAAUUCCAUGUGUAGCGGUGAAAUGCGCAGAGAUAUGGAGGAACACCAGUGGCGAAGGCGACUUUCUGGUCUGUAACUGACGCUGAUGUGCGAAAGCGUGGGGAUCAAACAGGAUUAGAUACCCUGGUAGUCCACGCCGUAAACGAUGAGUGCUAAGUGUUUAGGGGGUUUCCGCCCCUUAGUGCUGCAGCUAACGCAUUAAGCACUCCGCCUGGGGAGUACGACCGCAAGGUUGAAACUCAAAGGAAUUGACGGGGACCCGCACAAGCGGUGGAGCAUGUGGUUUAAUUCGAAGCAACGCGAAGAACCUUACCAAAUCUUGACAUCCUUUGACCGCUCUAGAGAUAGAGUCUUCCCCUUCGGGGGACAAGUGACAGGUGUGCA